GACGAACGCUGGCGGCGUGCUUAACACAUGCAAGUCGAACGGAAAGGCCCUGCUUUUGUGGGGUGCUCGAGUGGCGAACGGGUGAGUAACACGUGAGUAACCUGCCCUUGACUUUGGGAUAACUUCAGGAAACUGGGGCUAAUACCGGAUAGGAGCUCCUGCUGCAUGGUGGGGGUUGGAAAGUUUCGGCGGUUGGGGAUGGACUCGCGGCUUAUCAGCUUGUUGGUGGGGUAGUGGCUUACCAAGGCUUUGACGGGUAGCCGGCCUGAGAGGGUGACCGGACACAGAGGGAGUGGGAUGCCGCACCACUGCGGGGGGGGGGGGGAGGGGGAGAAGAGUGAAAACGGGGGGGAGGCGGGAUGCAGGAGCGGGGCGGGGGGGAUGGGGGCCGGAGGGUUGUAGUCAGCUUUCGGGGGGGAGGGAGGGGGGGUGAGGGUGGGGGGAAAAGAAGGAGCGGAUAACGACGGGCGGGGCGCGGGGGUGAUGGGAGAGGAGACCAGGCACGACC
rnacentral:rRNA from 1 species